rnacentral:lncRNA from 1 species
UCCUUUUCUAAAUGAAAUUUGAAAUCAUAUGGCGCGAAAUUUCUAAUUGAAUUUGUAAGUGUAUGUAUUUUUCCACAUUAUUAUCAUUAUGUUGACAAUUUAUCUGGAAAGCUUUUUUUCUACAUUCUGAGUGUUUGAGUGACAGUACGAGUGAUUUGUUGUUUUCUUUAUGGACAAUAUGGAAAUUUUCCUUGCACGAAGUUGAGAGUUUUGAUAAGGAUCUUGAGAGCGGAUCCUAACAAG